GAUGAACGCUGGCGGCGUGCUUAACACAUGCAAGUCGAACGGAAGGGCCACAGCUUGCUGGGGUUCUCGAGUGGCGAACGGGUGAGUAUAACAUGGGUGUAACGCAUUGAUCACAGGGAUAAGCCUGGGAAAAUCGGUAUAAUACCUGAUAUGAACUGUCUAAAGUGUGGUGGUUGGAAUGAUUUUGCGUUGUAAGGUGAGCUGGCGACCUAUCAGCUUGUUGGUGGAGUAAUGGCAUACCAAGGCGUUGACGUGUAGCCGCCCCGUGGGAGUGUACGGCGACAGUGAGUCUUAGAGACGGCCCAGACUCCGACGGUAGGCAGCUGUGGGGAAUAUUGCACGAUGGGCGGAGGCCGGAUGCAGCAACUCCUCGUGUGGGAUGACUGCCUUAGGGUUGUAGACUCCUUGCGUCAGGAACGAUGCUUAUUGUGACGGUACCUGAAUAAGAAGCACCGGCUAACUACGUG
rnacentral:rRNA from 1 species